UGAAGAAUGGCAUCUUCAUCCUUAUUCUUGCUCAAAUAUUGUAGACCAACCCACAGGCGUACGAGUCUUUCAUGACUUCUUAAGACGUACUUUCAUGGUGACAAACAGCAUGUUUGGUGCUGCAAGAAAGAAGUUUGUAGAGGGCGUGGAGAGCGAUUACCAUGAUGAAAGUCUGUAUUACAGCCAGUCUUCAAUGUUCCCUCAUCGAACAGAAAAAGAUAUGCUGGCAUCUCCAUCACCAUCAACGUCAGGGCAGCUAUCUCAGUUUGGUGCAAGUUUAUAUGGGCAAAGUGCAUUAGGCCUUCCGAUGAGGGGAAUGGGCAACAACAAUCCUCAGUUAAAUCGCAGCUUAUCACAAGGUACUCAGUUACCUAAUCACGUAACGCCAACGACAGGAGUGCCCACAAUGUCACUUCAUACUCCAUCUUCACCAAGCAGGAAUAUUUUGCCUAUGAAUCCCAGGAAUAUGAUGAAUCAUUCCCAGGUUGGGCAAGGGAUUGGAAUUCCAGGGAGGACAAAUAGCAUGAGCAGCUCUGGUUUAGGCAGUCCAAACAGAAGCUCACCAAGCAUAAUAUGUAUGCCAAAGCAGCAGCCAUCCCGGCAGCCUUUUACAGUGAGCAGUAUGUCUGGAUUUGGGAUGAACAGGAAUCAAGCUUUUGGAAUUAAUAAUUCACUUUCAAGUAACAUUUUCAAUGGCACAGAUGGAAGCGAAAAUGUUACAGGGUUAGACCUCUCAGAAUUUCCAGUACUAGCAGAUAGAACCAGAAGGGAAGGAAGUGGCAAUCCAACUCCACUAAUAAAUCCGUUGGCUGGGAGGACUCCUUAUGACACUGGGUUCCUUUCGAAAAUGGGCAUGCUGGGAGCUGUCCGUGUGUCCCGUCUUCAGAAAUCAGUUGGGAUGGUGACAAAACCAGCAAAUGAACAGUCCCAAGACUUCUCAAUCCAUAAUGAAGAUUUUCCCGCACUUCCUGGUUCAAACUAUAAAGAUCCAACUUCAAGUAAUGAUGACAGUAAAUCUAACUUGAAUACGCCAGGAAAAAGUGUAUCCAGUACAGACGGGCCCAAGUUCCCUGGUGACAAGAGCUCAACGACGCAAAACAACAACCUUCAGAAAAAAGGCAUUCAAGUGUUAUCUGAUGGACGAGUCACUAAUAUUCCGACAGGAAUGGUAACAGAUCAGUUUGGAAUGAUUGGACUGUUAACAUUCAUUCGGGCGGCAGAGACGGAUCCUGGAAUGGUACAUCUCGCAUUAGGCAGUGACUUAACAACACUAGGCCUCAAUCUAAACUCUCCAGAAAAUCUUUAUCCCAAAUUUGCAUCUCCUUGGGCAUCAGCACCCUGCCGACCUCAAGAUAUUGAUUUUCAUGUUCCAUCGGAGUAUCUAACAAACAUUCACAUUAGGGACAAGCUUGCUGCAAUAAAACUUGCCCGCUAUGGAGAAGACCUCCUUUUCUAUUUGUACUACAUGAAUGGAGGAGAUGUCUUACAGUUACUUGCAGCCGUAGAGUUAUUUAACCGAGACUGGAGGUACCACAAAGAAGAGCGAGUCUGGAUCACCAGGGCCCCAGGAAUGGAGCCAACAGUAAAGACCAACACCUAUGAAAGGGGGACAUACUAUUUCUUUGACUGUCUUAACUGGAGAAAGGUUGCUAAAGUAAGAGCUGAUGUACUAAUUGAUUUUAUAUAAUGUGAAAAUUACUGGCCUAUUGUAUAGGAGUCAGGUGAAUUAUUAAUAAUGUUUCUUUACUGGGGAUUAAGCAUUAUCUGUUUGCUGGAAACAAAUGAUUUUGUAUGUAAUCUUGUGUAUUUCCUUUCUGACCAGCAAAUCUGAGCUGUGGUUCUCUAUAAUAAAGUCAGCUGAAAUAGCCUAGAUUUGUGUGCUCAUGUUUUAACCCAUGAAACUGCUAGAUAUUGUAGCAAGUUCUGUGGACUCUAGGCUACCUUUGAAGAUUUCAACUCGUGAACUGAAGAAGAAUGAAAUGUACAACAUAAUAGGAUUUGGCUCAUUAUACCUUUAAUAUUCUUCAAGUUUUAGCCCAUUUUAUUGCACUUUCUCUGUAUCCAUUUGCACUCUACAGCACAUAUAAUCAGUUGUCCUUAGUAAAUCUAUUUGUAAUAUUAACUGAAAUGUUAAUGUUUAUAAUGUUACAUUUAAAUUUCAGAAAAAAAAACAAUCUUCCAGUUUCAAUCCCCCUCACUUUUUAUUUUAAUCUUUUCUUUUAUGCUUAAUGUUUUGGAGUCAUUUACAAUUUAAUUUAAUAUUAACUACAUGGACAUUUUUACAUUUUAUUAUAGGCUGUAAAUUGUGUUGUAUCGUUGUUUUUGUGGUUGUUCUAUCUUUUUAUUUCUAUUGAGCCGAAAUAUAUUUAAAGUUCUUAAUAAGGACUGGGCAAAUCAGCAAAACUGAACACGUGCAUAGUCUUUUCUGACCCUGCAUUUUCCUAGGGUCUUAAAUCUGAAUCCAGUUUCCUGCCCGAAAGGCCCUUGGGGGUUACUUUAGCCAAUCUGGAUCUUGAAUAUUGCAACACUUAUUUGUUGUCAGUUGGAGGAAGUAGGCCAAUGUAGGAUAUGGUAAUUGAACUGACAUUCAAAAGGCUGAUCAACCUGGGAGCCAAAAGAGAACUCAUCAACAGCGCACGAAGAGGUAAUCAGAAAAGAAGUUACUUACGUGGACUUUGUGAAGGCAUGUUUUGAAGCCUCCUAAAUGAUAUGUAGCAAGCAUUGCACUUCGUGUUUGUCAGGGGUAGUUUAUCAUUUACUAAAAUAAUGAAUAUUUUACCUAAAAUAUGAUUUAGUUAGGCCUUAAUCAUGGCCUGUAGAUUAGAUUUUUUUUUUAAACUGGAUGGAAUCGCAGAUCAAAUCCCGAAACAUUAAAAAUACAGGACAAUCCCCGUAAACAAAGUAGAAUUUACGUGUAUUCAUUAUAACUACUGCCUGAUUUCAGUUUGUUUUUACCCAUUGGAAACUGAGACACUUUACAGCAAACUUCACAAAGUUUCAAUGCAGCUUCUAACAAUGGACAAAGAGCAAUUCAAUGGUAAGGUGUCACAUAUUCAGCAUCUGUGCAGUUCAAGAGGUGCAAUAUAACAUCAAUCACCCAGAAACAAGCUCUUUGAGAUGAAAAUAUCUCAAUGGUUCAAUAAAGGACUAAUAGCUAUGUAAUUGUGACUGAUGCAAAAUUUCAUUUGUGAAGUUUUGAAGUCGUAAGCUCAACACUUAACUUUCAAUAUACCAGGUAACAGAAUAACCUGUCACAGGUCACUUGUGAAUGUAUUUACAUACCACAAACCUUUGCUGCCCCAAAUGAGGGACACAAGCCUAUAUUGUAACUGCAUGUUUCCUUAAUAAUUGUUUGUACACCAAAAAGGUAUCUGUUGGUUUUAAUUGAUAGGAUAUUUUGAUUACUUUGUUUUCUUUAGCAUUAAAGUAAAUCACUGUAUUUUCUUUUUGCAAAUUAAAAUCUGUAAUGUCUUAAAAUAGAUUUUAAGUAAAACAAGAUGCUCUUUUCUGACAUUUGUAUAUAUUAAAUGCAUCACCUCUGAUAUGAGCAGCAUUUUGACAAGUCAAUUCCAGUGACAUAUAUUGUAGGAUUUGCAAAGGCCCGACUAAUUUCUAACAGUGUGCAUUGAUUGCCUGACUUUGAAGGUGUGCAUUGUUGACAAAAGAGAAAACUCACUGAAAUCACAAGUUUUUCCCUUUUAGAUGAUCUGAUUUUGAAGAAGUUCCAGAUUCCCAUCAAGAGUUCCAUCUGGAGUACGACAAACUAGAGGAAAGACCUCAUCUUCCGUCAUCUUUGAACUACAACCCUGCUCAGCAAGCCUUCUAAAGACUUAACUGUUCAUAGGGUAUGGCUGUCUCAGCACAAUACUCAAACUGCAGAAACCGAAGUGGCUCAGGCAUCCUGGUUUUUAUUCUUUGAGGAUCUGGCAAUUGGCUCAUGUGGAUGGAUUGACAUUUUGAAGUCCUGCCUUAGUAAUUAUGUGCUGCCCAACACAACUGAAUUUGUAUUUUUUUUUUCUGUUUUUUUAAUUAUUUUGAGCAGGGUAUGUUUAAAAAAAGACACAAAAAUAACUUUUUCAGCCUAUCAGCAGACUGUUCUGCUAAAGGGCAAGUGGACCGACAAUACUUUCAUUGCUAAAUUUCCAAAGUGUAAAAAUUUAAAAAGUUUGCAUUGUUCAUUGUAGCAUAACUGGUAAUAAAAAAAAAUGUGUAGUGCAUUUUUAUGUGAAGAUCCUCUUGUAUUUCAUUUGGAAAGAUAAGCAGCCUGCGUUUGAUUUGUUCAUUUUACUUUCCCCUAAUGUUUUUGAAUGGCAUUUCUGUCAAGUUAAAUGCAAGAACAUUUGACUGUCUAAGUGAACGUUAUUGCCACGACCUCUGGACAUUUUCCACGGUUGUGUAUCACUGGGCUUCAUCUUUCCAGAAUGAGCAAAACACUGUCCAGUCUUUGUUACAAUUUUGUAAUAAAAGUGUACAUUUUUUUAAUUUUUGGACAUCACAUGAAUAAAGAUAUGUAUGUACGAAUGUGUAUAUAUUAUAUAUAUGACAUCUAUUUUGGAAAAUAUUUGCCCUGCUGUACCUCAUUUUUCGGAGGUGUGCAUGGAUGCAAUACAUGAAAACAGGACAUUUCGGGAACUGCUGAGCAGGGGACCGCUGUGUCGCCCUGUGCACUUAAGGGCCAGAUUUUCAGCAGCCAAGGACAUCCAUACCCAAUUGAACAUGAUGGGACUUCAGGAAGUGAACUGAGACAAUUCACAAUGGCUGGUUGAACAGCAGCAUUUCAUAGGAAAAAAAUAAUUAAAAAAAAUCAAUCUUGUAUUUUCUGACCACAUUAAAGCUUCUUCUCUUUGUAAUAAAGUAGAAAAGCUGUCCUAA